rnacentral:rRNA from 1 species
UACGUAGGGUGCAAGCGUUGUCCGGAAUUAUUGGGCGUAAAGAGCUCGUAGGCGGUUUGUCGCGUCUGCUGUGAAAACCCGCGGCUCAACCGCGGGCCUGCAGCCGAUACGGGCAGGCUAGAGUUCGGUAGGGGAGACUGGAAUUCCUGGUGUAGCGGUGAAAUGCGCAGAUAUCAGGAGGAACACCGAUGGCGAAGGCAGGUCUCUGGGCCGGAUACUGACGUGAGGAGCGAAAGCAUGGGGAGCGAACAGG